CUUUACUGAAACUGCAGCGAAUCUGCUUCAGUUAGGACUUAAGAUUUGACAAUAAGUAAGCAUGCAAAAUGACGGCUUUAAUUUGAUGCUAACGUGCUUUCAUUCAGAUGAUUCGGUUCUUCAGUUUAAUACAAUAUGCCACUAAUGGAAAACUUUGGAACUUAUAAAAAUCUAAAUAAAUUCAUUCUGCCUCAUAGAGAAGAUAAUUUCUACUGAAUUUUUUUAGCCUACUGUAAUAUUGUUUUUCAGUAGCUUUUUUCUGCACAUUUUUCUUUCAGUUCUUAGUGCUGCUGCCCCAUGAACACAUUUUUUUAAUUUGACUGUACAUUCAAAUGAAGCCUUUGUUAAGUAUACACUCCAAAAUUCAGUUAACAGUAGCCUAACUGAAUUUUCUGUUUCUGAAUUUAUAAACUCACUUUAUAUUCAGUUUAUAAAUUAACAGUAGCUUCAAAAUUAAGUAUCAUUCGCAUGGAUCAACUAUUAUUUUAUUUAGUGGAGCAUAAAGUUCAGAUCAUGAAUAAUGGCAUUACAAGUGAACUUGGCACAAUUACACAUGUCCUGAACCUCAUAGAAUCUGACACUAGCAAGUCUUCAUUGGCAUGCAAGUACUACUUUUACAUUGUCAUGACAGGAACAAUUAAUUUGACAUGUAUCAUUGGUACUGCUAAAACAUUUCGUUCAUGUUUCAACAAAUUUGGUGAAGACCACUUCAUAUGUAUUUUGCAUAUAUGAAUUAUCUCCUGUUGCUUUCUAAGAUGUUAGUUCUUUCAGUUCUAGCCCUCCUAUCUUUAAUUCCUGGCUGCUGGACUACCUGCAGGACAUCGAGUUCAUCUGCGGCAGCUAUCGCUGUGAGCAGUCCGUCCGCGACGCGCUCCGCAGCGUCUUCGCCGGGCACAACGGGAUCCUCAACGUCUGGAAGCUCGUGCGUUCCGUAUGGCAUUGAAGGAAGUGUGGAAAUUACCGGCGGAGGAGACCUUCAAAUAUUCUGGACCGGAUUGGUUCCUUAUUUUAUUGGACCAGUUAACUUCGCCUGUACGCGAGAAAACUAUAUUCAUGUUCUGGAGAGCGUGGCACUUGAGGAAUGAUUUGAUCUUCGGUGGAGAAAUGCAGUAAAGGUAAGCAAGUGGAGCUGGAUCUUCAGCCAACCAAUAACAUUGAGAGAAAGGUUACUCUUUGGAGGCCACCUUCCCCAGUCAUCUACAAGAUUAAUGUCGACGCAAAUUUUGUGGAGGCCAUUGAAGCUGCGAGCGUGGGGGUGGUUGUUAGAAAUCACUAUGGACAAGUGAUCCUAUCCUCCUGGGAUUAUAUUGGUGUCGGUGUCAAAACCGGCGGAUCUCGGGUAGGGGGUCCCGAACUGUGUGUCUAGGAUCGAUGGUAACAGGAGACGGGGGACACGAUGUUUACCCAGGUUUGGGCCCUCU